UGCGUCGGCCGGGAGUCGAACCCGGGUCAACAGUUUGGGAAUCAGCUAUUCUGACCAUUGAACUACCGACGC
rnacentral:tRNA from 13 species